UUUGUUUAUUUGCAGGAAUUAGCUUAGCAGUUUUGAAGGCUGGCUAGGCAAGUUUGAAAUCCAUAGAGUAGGUUGCCAAUCACAAGAGGCUAGGACUUCUGGGCACAAGCAGAAGCUGCUGUCCAUAGGCAAAAGUUUUUCUUCUUCAGAGAACCUUCAAUUUUCCUGUCAAAGCUUUUCAACUGAUCAGAUCAGGUCUAUUCAUAUUAUCUAGUGUAUGCUCCAUUACUUAAAGUCAACUGACUAUGGAACUCAGUCACAUCUAAAAUGCCUUCACAGCAACAUCAAGGGGAAAGCUGCCACUUCUGCAAAUUGUCCUCCUCUUAAGACAGUCUCUUUUGUGACUGCCUUCUGUUCAUCUCAAAGAAAGAGCCCAGCACACGGCACCUUGUUUUCACAGGCAGAAUCUGCUUCGCAAGUUGGUGAAUGUGAAGAUACCCAGGCUUGAAUCUGAUGAGUGUGAGACCCCCAGCCAAUGCAGCACACCAAGGGUGUAGCCACUCAGGAUAGAAGAGGUGACAACGGCAUCUGGGAGACAUCUGUCAAGAGGUCUCAAGGCCAAGGCAGGAAGUAAAUGAAAUAAAGACAAGUUAAAGAAAAAGAGCAGUGACAGCAUUAACAUCUGUAUCCGACAUGGUCAGGUUCAAUGCAGAGGAAGAUGGUGUCAGCGAUGGAGACCAGGCUUCCCAAGAUCUCAUGGCAAAGAACUAGUUUCUUCCUCCGAUCUGCUGAGGACCAACACUUUUGCAAAAUUCAGUAGAAAUGGUACAACAAAGUUGAAUUGCUACAACAAAGUUUCUAAACAGUGUACAUUAUUAAACUUAACUCAUGGCAGGCCCCAACAGGUGGUCUGUGGCCCGGGCCAGCCUGUGGACCGCACUCCGUUGCUUUGGAGGAAAAUGUGAGAUGCUCCCUUGAGCUCAGAGUAGGGGAGACCCUGGACCCAGAAUUCAGAGCACUGGGGUGGCUCAGAACCCAGAAUGCAGAGCAGGGGGGUGGUCCUGGAUCCAGAACACAGAUCCGGGCCUGUAGAUGCAGAUGACAAUGCCAGGGCUUCCAAAGUAGACCCACUGCAGAGACACUAACAACAUGGUGGGAAUGGGGUGGCGGCCUCAAAAGAGAAUUCAUACUGGAUGCUUUUGGGACGUCUGGUCAACCAAACCUAAGCGCUCUCCUUCACAUCCCAGCCCAAAAUACCUUCCAGGUGAAUUACCGAGAUCACUGUGAAAAUGGGGACAUGCAUCAACUAGAAGUAACUACAGGCAAGUUCCUCAUCUCAUCCUAUUGUUGAAAAACUAAUAAGAAAAUAAUGAAUAAGUUUGACUGCAUAAACACAAAAAUCCUGCAUAUCACAACACAAGAAACACAAAGAAAGGUAAAUCAAUGAAGAAAAUCUCCCAUCAGACCCUCCAAGGUGCAAGCAAGCAGGAUGCUCUAAGGAUGCUGGGCGGCAUGCUUUCACUUAAAAGGUCAGAAUCUAGGCUGGGCGCGGUGGCUCACGCCUGUAAUCCCAGCACUUUGGGAGGCCGAGGCAGGCAGAUAUCUGAGGUCAGGAGUUUGAGAUCAGCCUGGCCAACGUGGUGAAACCCCAUCUCUACUAAAAAUACAAAAAUGAGCCGGGUGUGGUGGCACGCACCUGUAAUCACAGCUACUCAGAAGGCUGAGGAAGGAGAAUCGCUUGAACCCCAGAGGCGGAGAUUGCAGUGAGCCGAGAUCAUGCCAUUGUACUCCAACCUAAAAAAAAAAAAA
rnacentral:lncRNA from 10 species